rnacentral:misc_RNA from 1 species
GGAAUUUUUAUUAUGUGGUGAAGAGUCCUUGACAUUGAUGCCACACGUCCUACAAACUGAGAAUAAGCUUUCCGCCUCACAGAUGGCUGUGGAGUAGAGUGGGUGAAUGAUUCUUGGUGGGUUCCUAGCUCAGGACACCGUUCUAUCAGGAUUUGGCAGCAUCACAAUUUCAUCAACCCGAGUUAAGGCGGCUAAAUUCUUCUCAAAUUAGCGAACUGCAAACCCGUCCAGGACACGGUGAUUGUACCUGGAGGCCAGUGCCAG